AGUUCCUUGAAAAUGUGGACUUCUCUGCAGGCCUUCUGGAGUGUCCUCCUGACAGCAACUGGCCUUUCCCAGAGAGAGUGAUCCAACAGAGAGAGCAAGUAGGAUAUAGCUGCGCCUUUCAUGACAGCCUCAGAAGCCACAAAUCACCGUGUCUGCUAUGUUUUAUUCAUCAGAAGUGAGUCGCUGAGUCCAACCAUAUUCACAGGGAGGCAAAGUAAGCUCUACCUCUUAAAGGAAAGGAGUAUCCAAGAAUUUGUGGAUAUAUUUUAAAACGGCCACAGACCUCAGAUGGACAGAAUUCAACUCAUCACAUUUCUUGGUUCUUGACACGCUCUCCUCGUUAGUCCAUCACAUAUUGCACGGAUUCAUUCAUAUCGCUGCAUGUAGGCUGCUUUGACCUGCUGUAGAAUAUCUCAUUGUGUGGAUGCACAUGUGGAUCACUGAGUAUGUCAGAGCUGGCAAGAUACGUCAGAAGAGAAAGGAGAAACUCUUAACUAAAUAGAGUUGGAAAUAAAAUAAUUGUCUGUAUGGAAUAAGAUCAAAGGUCCCACAUGUUAAAGUCAACCCCAGAUGAAUUAAAGUCUUACAUGUCAAAAAAAAUUGAAACUUUUAGAAGAAAAUUAAGGUGGAUAUAUUUUAGACCUUAAGGUAGAGAAAGAUUUCUUAAAGAAGACACUUACAGGAUUGAUUACAAACAAAAAGACUGGUACAUUUGAAUGUAUUAUGUUAAGAACUUUUCCACCAAAAGAAAGCCUCGAUUUCCUCAUUUUUAAGAUGAGGAUAAUAAUCCCUACCUUAUAGAAUUCUAAUAAGAUGAAAUGAAGCAACAUAUACAAAAUACUUAGCACAGAUCCUAACACCUACAAAAUAAUAAAUGGUAACGAUUAUUAUUCUUCUCAAACAACAAUCCUAUUAUUUAUCAAAUAAUACUGAGUAAUAUGACAAGACAUAUUUAAACCACACAAGCCAUAUGCAGACAAGUGUUUAAUAUCAUAGUGAUAGUUUCAAGAGAGAGAUAAUAAUUUAUUCUACAUUUAUCAGAGGUCUAUAGCCCAGUAGUCAAUAAAUACUUAUCUAUAGUCAAUAAGUACUAUCAAGCAUCCAUGCCAGGAACCAUGCUAGGGGCUGAUUAAUUUACAUCAAUCACCAUGACUUUUUUCCCACAAACUAACACACACACAAUCUUCAUAGAUUUUUCUGUGAUCACAGCAAGGAAAAGACCUACGCAUGUUUGGAUCAUCUGUGUACAGUCCUACAGAAGAACUUUGACACUAUCAGAGACAGAAAUCUCAGAAUAGUCCAACUCUCACUUAUUUGUGCUAAUGAAAGAGUAAAGUAAAAGAGACAAUUAAAAUGGGAAAUGUGUUUUGUUUUGUUUUGGUGUUUUGUUUUACAAGUAUGCAAAAACCUCAAAUCAACCUGACCCAACAAUAAGGAAGCAAGUCAGAAAAAGGCAGUCUUCCAGAGCUGUUUGUUCAGCAGCUCAGUAAUGCCAUGAAGGUUUGCUUCCUUUCUCUGCUUUGUGUUUCUGGAGAGAGUCCGCAUACAUUUCAAUAUGGCUGACAGCAGUUCUGGAAUGUAUAAAGCCUUGCAUAAAGAAAAUGACAGUUCACUAUGAAAAUCUGAUUCGGAUGAUGUUGAAAAUAGAUUUAGUGUCUGCUCUGCCUCUCUGUUUUCUAGGACUUCACCACCUCACAGACUUUGUACACUCAUGGUUCACAACUUCCUCACUGUGUUUUCUUUAACGAGUAGAAGAUAAAUAAGCUUUAAGAAAUAGUAAAUUAUAUCAAAAUAGACUUUAUCAUAUAAUUUGCCUAAUUAUGUACCUUCAGUAAGUGUUUAUUGAACUCUGGGGUGUCAACAAUUUUUUAUUCAGCUCUCAUAAGUAAUAUUUGCUUAGAAAUCUACCCAUAAAUAGGAUAACAACUUUCAUAAAACAAGAAUUUAUACCUAGCUAACAUGAAAAAGCUAAACAUCCCUUGAAGUACAAUUCUCCUGAAAAUCAUCCCAAUAUGGUUUAUUGAGGCUGAUGGAUUUGGACACCAGCUCUUAAGAAAAAAGAUAAAGAGGAAAGCUACUGCCUGCCACAACAUAUUCUUUUUCCCAAGAGCUGGUAAGUUUCUUCCAUAUGUGGAAUCCAAUAACGUUCGGAACAUUCUUUUCUCUUUCUGGUAAUGUGAUAUACCCAACGUGGGCCUAUGAUACAAGGAAGGAGAGUAGAUCAGGAGUCAAAAACCACAGGUCCUAGUUCUGGUUCUAUCAUUUCUUUGCUGUGAAAGUCUGGACCAGUGACUUCAUAGCUCUGAGUUUCUGUUGUGUCAUUCUUCAAGUCAGGUCAUCAUUUGCCUUCCCUACUUCACAGGUAGUAUACAGUAAUCUUUUCAAAAGCCCUUUAGAGGACAUAACACAACCUUAUGUUUAUUUUCUGCUAGAGCAUGACUCCCUUGAGGGCUUGGAGCAUGUCUUAAUCAAAUUUGUAUAUUCCACCAUUCCUACCCCAGACCUAUUAUUAGGUGCUCAAUAAAUGUUGAUUUUAAAUGACAGCUGUCAUGAAAUAAAUGAAAACAGAAGCCAACAGUGACGGUUUGAGCUGCCUGCUGGCUGGCAUGUGACACUUAACAUCUAAAGAGUGAUAGUGGCAGCUAAAGUGCGGAAGGAAUCCACUUUAUGAAACUAUCUGAGCAGUGAAGCACUGGAAAUCACAGAGUCUCCUUUUGGCUAUUUUACAUUUAGAUAUGAAAGCUUGUCAGGCUGGGCUGAGAAUAGACAAUGAGAAACUAACACAUUUCAACAGGUUUUGAAUAGUUUCCCAGUGAAGAAUUUUCCUGGCCUCUCUCCACCCUGGUUUUUAUCCCUCUUCUUGGGAGUUAUUUUUCGCAAAUGUACCCCAUGAUUGGCAAAUUUCAGAAGAAUAACUGGGGUUGGCUCAGUUCAGCUCCUCCCCGUCCUUCUCCUGAGUCUGCUUCCAAAGGCAAUCUGCAAGGGAGGAAUAAAGCAACUCAGGGAAGGGAAAAAGAGAUGUGAAGAAGGAAAGAAAUUGGAAGACCCAAAACAACAUGAUGGUUAGUAGAGCUAAUGAAAAUGAGGAAGCUCCAAUAAUAUCUGGUUUUUUUUCUCUGACUUUGUGAAAACCAUUUGUUAUUAUGAUACGACAAUGUAAUCAAUGGUACUCAGUAAAGUCAGUACCCCAAAAUUCGGCCAGGUGUCAUGGCUUUUUGUGUAUGGUUGUCCUGGGAAUUAAAGGAGAAGGAAGGGGCUGUGCCCCUGUAGGGGAGAUGAUGUGCAGAAACGGACGGUAUACACAGGAGGAAAGACAAUGAGAAAAGAUAAAGAAAGAAUUCACUAAAAGCAGGGACUUGGAGCUAGAGAAGCAACAAAAGACAUCCAUAAUUCUUGGAGAUAUUAGGGGAAUACUAGGCUUCCCAAGAAAAAGAUUCAAGCCAUUCUAUUGCACUGUCAGCUGGAAGGUGGUCCCAAAAGGCUGGGGAAAUUGGAGGCACUCAGGAAGCUGCUGUCUUGGUUACAGGCAUUCAUGUAUGGAUGAGGCUGGAGAAGGUAAAAGACAGAGGAAGAGAGUAGGGAGGCAGGUACAGAAAAGAGACUCAUUAUUACCUUUCUCUAUUGCAGGCUUCAGAAGGUGAACCCAGAGAGCAGGCUGUUUCUGUCCAUGGGAAAGCAGGAUGGUACAGCCCAUAUCUGAUUCAGAAACCAACAGUCAAACCAUUCUCCCCUGAGACUAAAGCAGAGAAUGAAGCCAUUUCCCAGAAAUUUGGGUAUUUAAAAAAUCACCCUGGCCUGGGUUACAGGGUAAUUGUCCCAUAUCUAUGUUUCACCUGCAGAUUCAUGGGACAGAAUUAUUUCCCAAAUCUAGCUCCAUGCUCCUGCCCUGACUUAAGUCAGGGAAUACUUGGUAUGUAGUAGCAUUUAUUAUUUCACGUUCAAAAUAUCUCAAAGCCUUGAAAACUGUAACGUAUUAAACGGAAAUUUGGUAGGCAUUGCUUCGCACAAUCCCAUGAUGCCAGCUUGCUAGCAUGGAUAUGCCCAGGGCACCCUACCAGAUGCUGGACACAAAAGCUCAACAUGGUAGUUCUUCCCUGCAAGGGUUCACAGCCCAGUGGAGGAGAUCGUCAGAACCAUCUCCAGUAAUUCCAUUGACUGGCAGGACAUUUUUCCAUCAGAGAGUAGAGCUGAGCUGCUGCAGUGCCACGGCCACCUCCCAGCAACAACCCCUCCGACCCCAGCAGACCCACUACCUGGCUCUUUCGGUCUCUUCCUUGGCCUCUCAGACAUGUUGCCAUUUCUAUCAGAGCCAAUAAGAGUCUGGCAUGCCGUGGCCUCUGACUAGAACUAUACUACCAGCUAUCCCAGGCUGUAGCUUGCAGACAGCAGAUCAUGGGACUUCUCAGCCUCCACAAUCACAUCAAUCAAUUCCUUAUAGUACAAUAAGGCUUAUUUUAAUAAGGUGUGUUUAUGCAUCCAGUGUCAACUUCUCAUCUCUGGUGACAGGAGUCACCCCUUCUGCCUGGUACUUCCUUAAAGCAGGAUUCAUGAUAGCAGAAUUCUUUUGGAAGGUUCUGCUUUUAGGCAGAUGAGGGAGUGCAGAGAAAGGCUCUUCCUGAAUCUGUUGAUUCUCAAAUGCCUUUCACUCAAAAUAAUAUUUAUGUCAUGUGGCAUAUUCUGAUCCCUUCCUUGGUCACACCCAAAUUUUAUGGACUCAAAUACUUUGAAAGAAAAAAGAAAGGACGGAAAAAAGGAAAGAAGAAAGGAAAAACAGAAGGAAGAAAGGAAGGCACUGGCUAUGAUAAAACAUUUUUCAGGUGAUGUAUGAAUUUUAGAAAAAAAUACAUUUACAUACCCAAAACUAGGGCAUUAUUUUUAACCAAACAAUGUAAUGUAUGGAAAAGACAAGUUAAAUUCCACAUUCAAUUGGUAGGAUUUCAUAUUCAGUGUGAGCCAUUCUCUCCCUGUGCUGUGCUUGCUCCAAACAUAUUUCCACAGACUUGGAUAAUUUACCUUGAUUUUUGCUUAGUAUUGUAAAACGUCCCCAAAAUUUGAGAAAGCAUAGGAAAAAAACUUGUAGAAGCAAGUAAAACCAGAGAGGAAAGCCAUGACACAGGAAGAGAAGAUAUUACUGCCCACAAAGCAGCUGUUUGUCAACAAUCACAUUAGUGGUCUGGGAUCAUGAAGGAAUGUUUUAAGCAUUUUACACCCUAAUAUAAGUUUUUUAGUUACAUAUAGGCAUUUUUCUAUGUUUUCAGAAAUUGGCUAAGGAUUUGGGGUUGAUGCAUACCAUUUUGUAAUUUUUCCCAUUUCAAAUAAUAGGAAACAGCUCUGGUUAGCAUUUUUGUGCACAACAUCUGAUUUUAGGAGGGGAUGACUAAUAUUAAGUGGGAGGUGUCUGUAUUUUAGGAACUGGAUAGGAAAUUGUAUUCUCUUUACUUGCUCAACAUCCAUUUAACAAGCAUUUACCGAGUACUACAGUGAGCCAGGCAUUGUGCUGAGUGCUGAGCAGACAGCAGUGGAAAGUCUUCAUCCUUGGCUAAAAGGAUCUAGUCUAGUAAAUGAGACAGAGUGAGAGUUGUGAAAGGGGGCAUGGCAGGCACUAAUCCAGCUACAGGAGCCCAGGAGAGACUGAAACUAACUUUGCAAAAUCAUGGCAGUAAGAGAAAUCUAACAUAGUUGACUCCAUCCUGCUUCUAACCUCCAAGCUCUCCUUGGUCAUUCCUGAGCAUAGACCAACCAACUUCAGGAGCAAUUUAGUUUAUAGUUUAAUCUUAAAGCAAGAAUGAUAAUAGCCCUUCCCAAAACUAAACUGCCUUUGCAAAACUAAUGAAAGUCCUUCAUUCUGCUAAGAUGUAAGCAUAGUUAAAUGACAACUAGCUAUUGUUCUGGAGGUUACAACAUUUGUAACGUUUCCCAUUACUCCUGUAGAUAACAUAACUAUUGUAGAACCUACGAUUGGCUUUUUGAGAUGUCUUUUUAGAGUUCUGCAUUUCUGACUACUGGCUGACUCCACCUGGACCAGCAACUUGUGAUUCAACCGGUCCUGUGACCCCCUCCACCCAGAGGGGGCUCAGUGCAUAAGGACCAUUUUCCACACUCCUAUGAUUUCAUCCCCAACCAAUCAACAUUCCCCAUUCCCUAGCCCCUUGCCCACCAAACUAUCCUUGAAAACUAUCCUUGAAAACCUCUAGCCUCAGAGCCUUCAGGGAGACUGAUUUAAGUAAUAACUCUAUCUCCCACCUGGUUGGCCUCACGUCAAUUAAACUCUUUCUUUACUGCUAUACCAUUGUUUCGAGGAACUGGUUUUGUCUGUCAGCAAGCCAGAAGAACUCACAGGGCAAUUACAAGAUGAAUAAGAGUUACCGGGGUGAAAGUAGGGGACCAAGUACACUAGGCAGAGGGAGCAGCCUGUGCAAAAGCCCAGAGACAGAGAGCAAGGCAGCUGAAUCUGGCAUCACCAAGCCCCAGUGGAUGAGCAGUGCAGAUCCUCCCACUUACAACAUCCCCACUGGGCCCCAAGAAAGAGGCUGAAAUUUCCAGUUCCUCUCCAUAUCCUCUACCCACACACUCCUGACACUCAUCGUCUUCAUAGGCUACUUCAGGCACAAAACUGUGAAUGAGCUCUAAAAUGUGGUUUCCUCAUCUAUAAAAUGGGAUAAUAAAGUUUUAUCUUAUAGAGUUAUUGUAGGUAUUGAAUAGGUUGAUAUACAUAAAGCGCUUUUCACCAAUGUCUAGCACAUUUUCAGUGUUAUAUAUUAGCUAUUCAUUGUUAGCUAGAGGCCCUGAAAAUGUGUCGCAGUGAAGCCAGAGGUCCCUGAGGUCAGGCUGGGGAUAUCAAGUCCCAGGUUUUCUGCCCACCCACCUCCUCUUCCAAAUAAGGCAAAUGCACUUUUUUUUUUUUUUUUGGCCCACCAUUGUGCAGUAAAACUGCAUCCUACAUAGAUUUAACUUAAGCAAAUUCAAGAAUGCCCAGCUGGCUGGAUGAGACUGGGAGAAAAAUAACUUCAAUACUGCCAGUCCUACUCCAUUCUCUGAGAGCAAAUGCCCCAGGUGAACCUGGAGGAGAGGGAGAACAGGCACUCCCCUCCAGCCACAGUUUUCCCCACCUUUCCCCGGUCUAAGCAGCUUGACGUAUACUUUGUUAAAGGAUUUUCAAGCCUAAUUGUGACUACCUGCAAUUUUCACCCCACAAGCCGACUUUAAAACCUAACUCUUGCUAAAAAGAAGACACUCCAGCACCUCUGUCCGCUUAGCAUCAAGUAAAUUCCAAUCAAAUUAGAAAUCUUGAAGGCUUUCUGAGAGCUGGUCUUUACUUUAAACAGUUUAAAUCACCCCUAAGCUUAGCCUGAGGAGUAGGAUUAAAGCCUCCCUGAUGUGGAAAAAAACAAAAGAAGGAACUGUGAUUUACUGCCUAAGCCACCACCCUUAGCUUCCCCCACCACACUCUCCAGGUAAAAUCUGCUUCCGUUCUGCCUACUACCGUAGGCUAAAAAGAGAUCACCGGUCCUGAGACUCUAGUCACAUGGAUGCGCAGCAGGACAGGCACAGAGCUCCGCAGCUUGAAACAUAGAUGCUUGUAGCUCACAAGCCCACAAGUCCACCAGCCCGCCACAUCUCUUGAAGCUCAGGCAGGUACGUUCGCCCCGCUGGCUUUAAUUUCAAAAUCCAGCACAAUCACUGAAAAACUAGAGCGAUUUGCUCUUUCAGCUAUGCACAAUUUUCAUCAGCAGUCUCCAGUGGCUACAAUCUCAGGCAGGCUUUUACCACCUUUUCUCGUCCUCUCUAUACCAACACAUAUUCUGGAGAAAUGGUUUUUCUAAUGGCCUGUGGAGGUCUGCCUGUGUUUUGAGGCUUUGUCUGGGCACCAAGUCCAGCAGAUACAAUUCUCUUUCCUGAGUCAAGCAUUUAUAAAGAGCUGUGAUCUCAGAUUUCAGCUUGCUUCUGUCUUCCUUCUUACUCCUGAAAUCUGAUCAUCCCUUUUGUCUUUCUACCACAAUUAUAUAUUGAAAGAAAAACAUGAAGAUGCAAGAGUAUGCAGGGACAUGUGUAAGUGAUUCUCUGCAAGUGUUAAACACAGGGUGUAAUUACAGCUGGAAGGCAGUGCCUUGUGGGAGAAAAGACAAAAAAAGAGGUGGGGGGGGAUAUUCUUUAUAAAAUGUUCUUGUCUUUAUUUUUAAGCUUGAUGCUCACAUCUCACUUUCUAACACACACGGACAAAGAAUAUACUCAUGUACAAGCAAAAAUACUCAUAUAUGCACAUGUGCACAAACACACACAGACAAUGUAGUAUUUUAGAGACCCUUGGUCUUUUAUUCUUUUCAGCAAAUGAACAAUUAGCCUCAAUAGUCAAAUAAACAUCAGAAGAUGAGGGUUUUUCCCCCUUCCUCUGCUGUUACAAAAUAUAGCAACAAAGUGGGGCAAAGUAGCAUGAAACCUGAAGCAGCUCACACAGAAGGACUCAAGAGAAUAGGAUCUUCCAAAUGGAAGUUUCAGUUAGCUUCAGUGUUCUCAGAAUUGCAUCUCCUAAAUUUUGAUUCCAAAAGGGAAAUUCCCUAUGGCCCAGCAGGCCCAUACAAUCAAUUUUCCACAUUAUUUGUGUAAAUAUCUGUCCUGUUGCAUAUUCUGGAAGAAGUGACAGUUUCAAAAUGAGACUUGCCAACACACCCCCUUGUCCCAAACAAUAAGAAUCAGCAGAACAUCCCUAUCAGCCCUCUCAAUUUAUUCUUCAUCAGAAGCCAGUGGAAAAGGAAUUCAGCAAAGUGAGAUCCCCAACUGCACAAAGCACUAACCUAAUCACACCCAAAGGAAAAUGAGAGAAGAGUUUGACCUAGAGAGUCUUAAAUUAGUGGGCACACUCAGAGACUCAGGGGAAUUUUAGCUAGGCAAGCCACCAAUAAUUUAGAGAGAGGUGGCUCUAAUGAAGGGUCCAGGCUGCAGGGCAUGGUAGACAAUCUUUCAAGGCAAAGGCUCUGGGCCACGUGACCUGUCCAUGGCACAGUGGGUGUGUCAAGCACAGUGAAGUGUACAGAAGGUGUCUGACUUAUGCUGCUUUGAUGUACAAUUUUUCAGCUUUACAAUGGUGGAAAAGCAGUAUGUGUUCAGUAGAAACUGUACUUUGAGUACCUAUAAAACCAUUCUGCUUUUCACUUUCAGGAGAUAUUCAAUAAACUACAUGAGAUAUUCAACACUUUAUUAUAAAAUUAGCUUUGUGUUAGAUGAUUUUGCCCAACUGUAGGCUAAUGUAAGUGUUCCCAGCAUGUAUAAAGUAGGCAAGGCUAAGUUAUGAUAUUUGGUAGGUUAGGUGUAUUGAUUGCACUUCGACUUACAAUAUUUUCAACUCAUGAUGGGUUUAUCAGAUGUAACCCCUUCAUAAGCUGAUAUGGUUUGGCUGUGUACACCCAAAUCUCAUCUUGAAUUCCCACGUGUUGUGGGAGGGACCCAGUGGGAGAUGGUUGAAUCAUGGGAGCAGUUUCCCCCAUACUGUUCUCAUGGUAGUGAAUGAGUCUCACGAGAGCUGAUGGUUUGAUAAGGGGAAAUCUGUUUUGUUUGGCUCUCAUUCUCUCUCUUUGCCUGCUGCCAUCCAUGUAAGAUGUGACUUGUUCCUCCUUGCCUUCUGCCAUGAUUGUGAGGCUUCCUCAGCCAUAUGGAACUGUAAGUCCAAUUAAAUGUCUUUCUUUUGUAAAUUGCCCAGUUUUGGGUAUGUCUUUAUCAGCAGCGUGAAAAAGGACUAACACAUAUAAGCCAAGAAACACCUGUACAUGUGUUUCUUGCUUUAGAAAGCAGGAAGGCAAUUAGGCUUUAUUUUACAUGAAUCUACAAUGUUGGUGAAACCUGCUCUUCCAACAUCCUGCGGGCUCCUGGAAUGGACUCUGAUUAGGCAUAAAAUGAGGCAUAGCCACACACAAUGACUUUAUCUGGAAUACUGCUCACCUCCAUGUCCCUCCUACCCUGCAAGAAUGGGAAGUAGACUCAUUAGCAUCAUUUAAAAAUGGUCUCCUGGCUGGGUGCAGUGUCUCAUGCCUGUAACCCCAGCACUUUGGGAGGCCGAGGCAGGUGGAUCACGAGAUCAGGAGAUCGAGACCAUCCUGGCUAACACAGUGAAACCCUGUCUCUACUAAAAAUACAAGAAAUUAGCCAGGCAUGGUGGCGGGCACCUGUGGUCCCAGCUACUCAGGAGGCUGAGGCAGGAGAAUGGCGUGAACCCGGGAGGCGGAGAUUGCAGUGAGCCGAGAUUGCGCCACUGCAUUCCAGCCUGGGCGACAGAACGAGACUCCGUCUCAAAAGUAAAAAUAAAAAUAAAAAUGGUCUCCUUGCUUAUGUGUUCACUUGCUCUUUCCUCUCUUUCCUGGAGAGAUGAUAGCAAUUGC
rnacentral:lncRNA from 1 species